ACACAUGCAGUCGGACGGUAGCACAGAGAGCUUGCUCUUGGGUGACGAGUGGCGGACGGGUGAGUAAUGUCUGGGGAUCUGCCCGAUAGAGGGGGAUAACCACUGGAAACGGUGGCUAAUACCGCAUAACGUCGCAAGACCAAAGAGGGGGACCUUCGGGCCUCUCACUAUCGGAUGAACCCAGAUGGGAUUAGCUAGUAGGCGGGGUAAUGGCCCACCUAGGCGACGAUCCCUAGCUGGUCUGAGAGGAUGACCAGCCACACUGGAACUGAGACACGGUCCAGACUCCUACGGGAGGCAGCAGUGGGGAAUAUUGCACAAUGGGCGCAAGCCUGAUGCAGCCAUGCCGCGUGUAUGAAGAAGGCCUUCGGGUUGUAAAGUACUUUCAGCGGGGAGGAAGGCGAUGGGGUUAAUAACCUUAUCGAUUGACGUUGCCCGCAGAAGAAGCACCGGCUAACUCCGUGCCAGCAGCCGCGGUAAUACGGAGGGUGCAAGCGUUAAUCGGAAUUACUGGGCGUAAAGCGCACGCAGGCGGUCUGUUAAGUCAGAUGUGAAAUCCCCGGGCUUAACCUGGGAACUGCAUUUGAAACUGGCAGGCUUGAGUCUUGUAGAGGGGGGUAGAAUUCCAGGUGUAGCGGUGAAAUGCGUAGAGAUCUGGAGG
rnacentral:rRNA from 1 species